AUCGCUUCUCGGCCUUUUGGCUAAGAUCAUGUGUAGUAUCUGUUCUUAUCAGUUUAAAACUUCUUGCAAAUGCCCUUUUUUUGGCACGAAAUUCGAAAUUUUAAGCAUGAAAAUAUCUAUGAUGUUAACACCUUCAGAAAAUUUGACAUAUGAAGUUUUGAAGCUUGUUGUCAAUACAACAAAAUAGCAUAC